UACAGAGGGUGCAAGCGCUAAUCGGAAUUACUGGGCGUAAAGCGUGCGUAGACGGUUAUUUAAGUCAGGUGUGAAAGCCCAGGGCUCAACCUUGGAAUUGCAUUUGAGACUGAAUAGCUAGGGUGCGGAAGAGGGAAGCGGAAUUUCCGGUGUAGCGGUGAAAUGCGUAGAUAUCGGAAGGAACACCAGUGGCGAAAGCGGCUUCCUGGUCCAGCACCGACGUUCAGGCACGAAAGCGUGGGGAGCAAACAGG
rnacentral:rRNA from 1 species